rnacentral:rRNA from 1 species
UACGGAGGGUGCAAGCGUUGUCCGGAAUCACUGGGCGUAAAGGGCGCGUAGGCGGCCUGGUAAGUCGGGGGUGAAAUCCUGCGGCUUAACCGCAGGGCUGCCUUCUAAACUGUCAGGCUUGAGCACGGUAGAGGCAGAUGGAAUUCCCGGUGUAGCGGUGGAAUGCGUAGAGAUCGGGAAGAACAUCAGUGGCGAAGGCGGUCUGCUGGGCCGUUGCUGACGCUGAGGCGCGACAGCGUGGGGAGCGAACAGG